GACGAACGCUGGCGGCGUGCUUAACACAUGCAAGUCGAACGGAAAGGCCCUGCUUUUGUUGGGUGCUCGAGUGGCGCACGGGUGAGUAACACGUGAGUAACCUGCCCUUGACUUUGGGAUAACUUCAGGAAACUGGGGCUAAUACCGGAUAGGAGCUCCUGCUGCAUGGUGGGGGUUGGAAAGUUUCGGCGGUUGGGGAUGGACUCGCGGCUUAUCAGCUUGUUGGUGGGGUAGUGGCUUACCAAGGCUUUGACGGGUAGCCGGCCUGAGAGGGUGACCGGCCACAUUGGGACUGAGAUACGGCCCAGACGGCUACGGGAGGCAGCAGUGGGGAAUAUUGCAGAAUGGGCGGAAGCCUGAUGCAGCAACGCCGCGUGCGGGAUGACGGCCUUCGGGUUGUAAACCGCUUUCGCCUGUGACGAAGCGUGAGUGACGGUAAUGGGUAAAGAAGCACCGGCUAACUACGUG
rnacentral:rRNA from 1 species